UCCCUUUUAUAUGCGGGGGUCGGUUUACCUGUGAUGUAACAGGGCGAGGCCGUAGUACGGCUUGGCAUGUUGUUCAGGUCGGCGCUCGGUCAGCCGAAUCAUUGCACUGAUGUCGGCGGUAUGGCCGAGAUCAGAGACUUAUCAUAGUCGACUAGACCCUGCUGGGUCGAUUUGCCGUGGAGAGCUGGGGAUCCGUAGAUGUCAGGAGCCAUGCGCAUUUAUUGUGGAGUAAGUCAGAGAUCCGCAUUUAUUAUGGAGUAAGCCGGAGAUCCGCAUUUAUUGUUGAGUGUGCCGGAAGAUUACAGCGGCCAUGCGCAAUAAAUGCCGGAGGGGUGUUAGAGUACGGUCCUCGGACAUCGGGGUUUCUCUUAGGUCGGAGGUUUCGGGGUCGGUCGUCUUGUGGCCGAGCGUUCCGAGGUCGGACGCUGACUUCGGCUGUCUGGGGUCGGAGGUUGUACGGCUUCUUAGGGGCAUUUAUGUCAUUUGGGGGGAAACUUUAUUCCCCCCAACAG
rnacentral:lncRNA from 1 species